AUGUGGUUUCAAGAGGCGGGCGCCUGCAAAGGCUUAAUAGGGAAUCCCGUGCAAGUCGGGAGCGGACCCGCCGCCGUGAGUCCCGUACAACCGCCACCCCUUCGUGUGCCACUGGGUUCGUGUGAAUCCGGGAAGGCCGGGGCGGCGGGGGACGAGUCGGAAGACCUGCCCGGCACCAGAGACUCGC
rnacentral:ncRNA from 2 species